GACGAACGCUGGCGGCGUGCUUAACACAUGCAAGUCGAACGGGCCCGCCCCUGUUUUUGGGGGUGGGUUGAGUGGCGAACGGGUGAGUAUCACGUGAGUAACCUGCCCCCUGCUCCUGGAUAACUGCUUGAAAGGGCGGCUAAUACGGGGUGUGCCGGCUGGUCCGCAUGGGCCUGGUCGGGAUAGUUUCAUCUUCGGGUGUUUCGGUGGGGGAUGGGCUCGCGGCCUAUCAGCUUGUUGGUGGGGUGAUGGCCCACCAAGGCGGUGACGGGUAGCCGGCCUGAGAGGGUGGGCGGCCACACUGGGACUAAGACACGGCCCAGACUCCUGCGGGAGGCAGCAGUGGGGGGUAUUGCACAAUGGGCGGAAGCCUGAUGCAGCGACGUCGCGUGAGGGAUGGAGGCCUUCGGGUUGUGAACCUCUUUCUCCGGUGGUGAAGGCCCUGUCCGUUGCGGCGGGGUUGACGGUAGCCGGGUAUGAAGCGCCGGCUAACUACGUG
rnacentral:rRNA from 1 species